rnacentral:rRNA from 1 species
GAUCCUGGCUCAGGAUGAACGCUGGCGGCGUGCUUAACACAUGCAAGUCGAACGGAGUUUUAACGGAAGUUUCGGAUGGAAGUUAAAACUAGUGGCGGACGGGUGAGUAACGCGUGGGUAACCUGCCUCAUACAGGGGGAUAACAGUUAGAAAUGACUGCUGACACCGCAUAAUAUAGCGAAACCGCAUGAUUUUGCUAUCAAAUAUUUAUAGGUAUGAGAUGGGCCCGCGUCUGAUUAGCUAGUUGGUGGGGUAAAAGCCUACCAAGGCGACGAUCAGUAGCCGGCUUGAGAGAGUGACCGGCCACAUUGGGACUGAGACACGGCCCAAACUCCUACGGGAGGCAGCAGUGGGGAAUAUUGGACAAUGGGGGAAACCCUGAUCCAGCCGACGCCGCGUGAGUGAAGAAGUUAUUUCGGUAUGUAAAGCUCUAUCAGCAGGGAAGAUAAUGACAGUACCUGACUAAGAAGCCCCGGCUAACUACGUGCCAGCCGCCGC